CACGUAGGGUGCGAGCGUUGUCCGGAAUUAUUGGGCGUAAAGAGCUCGUAGGCGGUGUGUCGCGUCGGCCGUGAAAACCUGCAGCUUAACUGUGGGCUUGCGGUCGAUACGGGCAUCACUGGAGUUCGGCAGGGGAGACUGGAAUUCCUGGUGUAGCGGUGAAAUGCGCAGAUAUCAGGAGGGAACACCCGGUGGGCGAAGGCGGGUCUCUGGGCCGAUACUGACGCUGGAGGAG
rnacentral:rRNA from 1 species